ACGGAAGGCAGCAGUGAGGAAUAUUGGUCAAUGGGCGGAAGCCUGAACUAGCCAAGUCGCGUGAAGGAUGAAGGUAUUAUGUAUUGUAAACUUCUUUAGACGUAGAGAAAUAAGCGGGACGCGUCCCGCGAUGCUAGUAUGCGUAGAAUAAGGAUCGGCUAACUCCGUGCCAGCAGCCGCGGUAAUACGGAGGAUCCGAGCGUUAUCCGGAUUUAUUGGGUUUAAAGGGUGCGCAGGCGGUCUUUUAAGUCAGUGGUUAAAUCGUGGAGCUCAACUCCAUCCCGCCAUUGAUACUGGAGGACUUGAUUGCGGUCGAGGUUGGCGGAAUUCGCCGUGUAGCGGUGAAAUGCAUAGAUAUGGCGAAGAACUCCGAUUGCGUAGGCAGCUGACCAGGCCGUAAAUGACGCUCAUGCAUGAAAGUGCGGGGAUCGAACAGGAUUAGAUACCCUGGUA
rnacentral:rRNA from 1 species